rnacentral:rRNA from 1 species
AUUGAACGCUGGCGGCAUGCUUUACACAUGCAAGUCGAACGGUAACAGGCCGCAAGGUGCUGACGAGUGGCGAACGGGUGAGUAAUGCAUCGGAACGUGCCCAGUCGUGGGGGAUAACGCAGCGAAAGCUGCGCUAAUACCGCAUACGAUCUAUGGAUGAAAGCGGGGGACCGUAAGGCCUCGCGCGAUUGGAGCGGCCGAUGUCAGAUUAGGUAGUUGGUGGGGUAAAGGCUCACCAAGCCAACGAUCUGUAGCUGGUCUGAGAGGACGACCGGGCACACUGGGACUGAGACACGGCCCAGGCUCCUACGGGAGGCAGCAGUGGGGAAUUUUGGACAAUGGGCGCAAGCCUGAUCCAGCAAUGCCGCGUGCAGGAAGAAGGCCUUCGGGUUGUAAACUGCUUUUGUACGGAGCGAAACGGUCCUGGUUAAUACCCGGGGCUAAUGACGGUACCGCAAGAAUAAGCACCGGCUAACUACGUGCCAGCAGCCGCGGUAAGAC